UCAAAUUCGAAGCAGGAUUAUGCAAAUCAUCAGUACCUUUGGGUUUGAUAAAGGUACGACACACAACACUUGACUGAGAGGUAUCGAGAACAAGAGGUACAAACCUAAAGUCAUAGGAAAAGUCCGGAUACUACCUAAUGAGGCGUCCUCAUUAUCAUCCAAGUCAUCAAAAUCUUCAAAUUUAGAUUCAUAGACUAGAUCUUUUAACGGCUAAUCUAUUACAUUCUUUCGUUCUUCCAUGGUUAAGGCUCG
rnacentral:lncRNA from 1 species